rnacentral:rRNA from 1 species
GGGGGUUGUGCCCUUGGGGCGGGGUUUCGGGAAGUAACCGCUUAAUUGGCCCGCUGGGGGAUUUACGGCGCCAAGGUAAAAAUUCAAUUGAAUGGCCGGGGGCCCGCCCCAAGCGGUUGGAACCAUUGUGGUUUAAUUGGAGCCACCGCGAAGGAACCUUCCCUACUCCUUGACAUCCAGGGGAACUUAGCAGAGAUGCUUUUGGUGCCCUUCGGGAACCUCUUGAGACCAGGUGCUGGCAAUGCCUGUCGUCCAGCCUCCGUGGUUGGUGAAAUGUUGGGGUUUAAGUCCCGCAACGAGCGCAACCCCUUAUCCUUUUGUUUGCCAGCGGUUCGGCCGGGGAACUCAAAGGAAGACUGCCCAGUGAAAAACUGGGGGAAGGGGGGGGAUGACGUCAAGUCAUCAUGGCCCUUACGAGUAGGGCUACACACGUGCUACAAUGGCAUAUACAAAGAGAAGCGACCCCGCGAGAGCAAGCGGACCUCAUAAAGUAUGUCGUAGUCCGGAUUGGAGUCUGCAACUCGACUCCAUGAAGUCGGAAUCGCUAGUAAUCGUAGAUCAGAAUGCUACGGUGAAUACGUUCCCGGGCCUUGUACACUC